AAAUAUAUUUAUUUAAAGAAUUAUUAAUUUUAAGAAUAAUAUACUUUUGACCUUUUAAAGAGGGCAGACACGCAGAAGGCAAAUACUCUAACUUACAAGAGUAUAGUAACUAUGAAUCAUGAGGUAGAAGCUUAAUCAGUGAAAUGUAACGUUCAUGUUGAGCUUGCAUGUGCAUGGCUUUUGAGCUAUUACACAGCCAAAUUGAUGAGGGAAAAACAAGUGGUAUAACAUGCGUUACUGAAGAGAAAAUUAAUACUAGUUUAGUGGAAAUAUUCAACAAAAUUGAAAGGCAAUCGAGCUUUGGACCCAACAGAAUAUUUAUUUAAUAACUUUGGGAUUCUAAUCCAACGGUCAACAUGAACUCAUCAAAUAUAUUAUGUCCAAGCAAUCUUAACCUGGAGAAUUGGACCAGCAACAGAUCAUCACGGCAAUAUUCAAAUAUCGCUCUUUUAUUAAGUUACCAAUUGUUGUAGUUUACACAUUUUGAUCAUGAUACUAUCACAAAUAAUUAAAUGGACCCAUUUGAUAAACGGUGUUGAUCAACUAGUUUCGCUGCAUCAAUAAUAAGAUCUACGUAAAUUUACUUAUUUGUUUUUUUUUUAAAUCACGAAUUAUCUACAUGAAUUUUGUUAAAAAAGAGUUUAGAUCAUGAGAAAAUUUUGGCGUGACUUUAUAAAUACAAAAAGCAUAAUAAACAAUCCUAAUAUCACCUUAUUAUUGAGAUGAGUAAUGAUAUAGUUACAAAUUCUUGUAUAAACUUAUUUUGUAUAAAUUGAUGUGACGUUAAUUCAUUGGUUGAAUUGAAUAUCUUUUGACCCGCAUGAUUUAUUUAUAUUAUUUUAUAUUUUUAUUCAAUC
rnacentral:lncRNA from 1 species